ACAAUGUCAUACUUAGAUGAUCAGGACAUAUUUUGGAACAGUGCUUCUGGCACUCAAUGCUAGUCGUAUCAAAAGAUUUUUUUUUUUUUGUCCUUCUAUGUUUAGUUUCAUAUUGAAAUUAUUAGAUGCAAGAGUUUUCCGUUUGUUGUUCUUUGCAUUUAGAUGCCAACUUUCUAUCUCUAAUUCACCUCUCACAGAAGU
rnacentral:lncRNA from 1 species